UGUUUGUGGGAGUGGUGAAGCUGAAGGACAGCAGCUGAUUCCAGAAGGGGUCAUUCUCAGAGAUGGGCUCUGCUCCUGAUAACUUCUUCAAGUACUCAUUGUCUGGAAGCUCACUGAUGCUGCUGCUAUUUGCUCCCAUCCUCGCUGUCUGGCAAAUCACGUUCUAAACUUUCUUUCCUACCGAGUUUAACUCAGACUGCCAAGGGCUGGGAAGAGCAGCAGGGAGCUGACAGCCACUCCAGCUGUGUGGAUUCCAGCCCACGGAGAGCAUAAAGCAACGCCUUCCUCAGCUCUCUGCAAUCC
rnacentral:lncRNA from 1 species